rnacentral:rRNA from 1 species
CCUACGGGUGGCAGCAGUGAGGAAUAUUGGUCAAUGGGCGCGAGCCUGAACCAGCCAAGUCGCGUGAAGGAUGACGGCCCUACGGGUUGUACACUUCUUUUGUCAGGGAGCAAAUGGGUCCACGCGUGGGCUUAGCGAGAGUACCUGAAGAAAAAGCAACGGCUAACUCCGUGCCAGCACCCGAGGUAAUACGGAGAAUGCGAGCUUUAGCCGGAUUUCUUGGGUUUAAAGGGUGCGUAGGCGGAAUAUCAAGUCAGCGGUAAAAAUUCGGGGUUCAACCCCGUCGUGCCGUUGAAACUGAUGUUCUUGAGUGGGCGGGAAGUAUGCGGAAUGCGUGGUGUAGCGGUGAAAUGCAUAGAUAUCACGCAGAACUCCGAUUGCGAAGGCAGCAUACCGGCGCCCAACUGACGCUGAAGCACGAAAGCGUGGGUAUCGAACAGGAUUAGAUACCCGUGUAGUC